rnacentral:rRNA from 15 species
GGGAUUAGCUAGUAGGUANGGUAAUGGCUUACCUAGGCGACGAUCCCUAGCUGGUCUGAGAGGAUGACCAGCCACACUGGAACUGAGACACGGUCCAGACUCCUACGGGAGGCAGCAGUGGGGAAUAUUGCACAAUGGGCGCAAGCCUGAUGCAGCCAUGCCGCGUGUAUGAAGAAGGCCUUCGGGUUGUAAAGUACUUUCAGUCAGGAGGAAGGGUGUGAAAUUAAUACUUUCAUGCAUUGACGUUACUGACAGAAGAAGCACCGGCUAACUCCGUGCCAGCAGCCGCGGUAAUACGGAGGGUGCAAGCGUUAAUCGGAAUUACUGGGCGUAAAGCGCACGCAGGCGGUUUGUUAAGUCAGAUGUGAAAUCCCCGGGCUCAACCUGGGAACUGCAUUUGAAACUGGCAAGCUU